UACGUAGGGUGCGAGCGUUGUCCGGAAUUAUUGGGCGUAAAGAGCUCGUAGGCGGUCUGUCGCGUCGAUCGUGAAAACUUGGGGCUUAACCCUGAGCUUGCGGUCGAUACGGGCAUGACUGGAGUUCGGCAGGGGAGACUGGAAUUCCUGGUGUAGCGGUGAAAUGCGCAGAUAUCAGGAGGAACACCGGUGGCGAAGGCGGUUCUCUGGAACGCAACUGACGCUGAGACGCGAAAGCGUGGGGAGCAAACAGG
rnacentral:rRNA from 1 species